CCUACGGGUGGCAGCAGUAGGGAAUAUUGCUCAAUGGGGGAAACCCUGAAGCAGCAACGCCGCGUGGAGGAUGAAGGUUUUCGGAUCGUAAACUCCUUUUGUUAGAGAAGAUAAUGACGGUAUCUAACGAAUAAGCAUCGGCUAACUCCGUGCCAGCAGCCGCGGUAAUACGGAGGGUGCAAGCGUUACUCGGAAUCACUGGGCGUAAAGAGCGCGUAGGCGGGAUAGCAAGUCAGAUGUGAAAUCCUAUGGCUUAACCAUAGAACUGCAUUUGAAACUGUUAUUCUAGAGUAUGGGAGAGGUAGGUGGAAUUCUUGGUGUAGGGGUAAAAUCCGUAGAGAUCAAGAGGAAUACUCAUGGCGAAGGCGACCUGCUAGAACAUAACUGACGCUGAUGCGCGAAAGCGUGGGGAGCGAACAGGAUUAGAUACCCCUGUAGUC
rnacentral:rRNA from 1 species